GUGGGGAAUAUUGGACAAUGGGCGAAAGCCUGAUCCAGCCAUGCCGCGUGUGUGAAGAAGGUCUUCGGAUUGUAAAGCACUUUAAGUUGGGAGGAAGGGCAGUAAGUUAAUACCUUGCUGUUUUGACGUUACCAACAGAAUAAGCACCAGCUAACUUCGUGCCAGCAGCCGCGGUAAUACGAAGGGUGCAAGCGUUAAUCGGAAUUACUGGGCGUAAAGCGCGCGUAGGUGGUUCAGCAAGUUGAAGGUGAAAUCCCCGGGCUCAACCUGGGAACUGCCUCCAAAACUACUGAGCUAGAGUACGGUAGAGGGUAGUGGAAUUUCCUGUGUAGCGGUGAAAUGCGUAGAUAUAGGAAGGAACACCAGUGGCGAAGGCGACUACCUGGACUGAUACUGACACUGAGGUGCGAAAGCGUGGGGAGCAAACAGGAUUAGAAACCCUGGUAGUCC
rnacentral:rRNA from 1 species